UACGAAGGGGGCUAGCGUUGUUCGGAAUCACUGGGCGUAAAGGGCGCGUAGGCGGCUUUGUAAGUCGGGGGUGAAAGCCUGUGGCUCAACCACAGAAUUGCCUUCGAUACUGCAUGGCUUGAGACCGGAAGAGGUAAGUGGAACUGCGAGUGUAGAGGUGAAAUGCGUAGAGAUCGGCAGGAACACCCAGGGGGAAGGCAGUCGACUGGGCAUCUACUGACGCUGAGGUGCGAGAGCGUGGGGAGCGAACCGG
rnacentral:rRNA from 1 species